GACGAACGCUGGCGGCGUGCUUAACACAUGCAAGUCGAACGAAGUGGAGAACGGGUGAGUAACGCGGAAUCACCCUGCCCUUCAGAGGGGGAUAACAGUUGGAAACGACUGCUAAUACCGCAUACUAAAGGUGGGGAUUGCGUCUGAUGAGCUAGUUGGAGGGGUAACGGCCCACAAAGGCGAUGAUCAGUAGCCGGUCUGAGAGGAUGAACGGCCACACUGGGACUGAGACACGGCCCAGACUCCUACGGGAGGCAGCAGUGGGUAAUUUUGGGCAAUGGGCGCAAGCCUGAUCCAGCCAUGCCGCGUGUCUGAAGAAGGCCUUCGGGUUGUAAAGGACUUUUGUCAGGGAAGCGGUACCUGAAGAAUAAGCACCGGCUAACUACGUGCCAGCAGCCGCGGUAAUAC
rnacentral:rRNA from 1 species